rnacentral:rRNA from 1 species
GAUGAACGCUGGCGGCGUGCCUAAUACAUGCAAGUCGAGCGAACGGACGAGAAGCUUGCUUCUCUGAUGUUAGCGGCGGACGGGUGAGUAACACGUGGAUAACCUACCUAUAAGACUGGGAUAACUUCGGGAAACCGUAGCUAAUACCGGAUAAUAUUUUGAACCGCAUGGUUCAAAAGUGAAAGACGGUCUUGCUGUCACUUAUAGAUGGAUCCGCGCUGCAUUAGCUAGUUGGUAAGGUAACGGCUUACCAAGGCAACGAUGCAUAGCCGACCUGAGAGGGUGAUCGGCCACACUGGAACUGAGACACGGUCCAGACUCCUACGGGAGGCAGCAGUAGGGAAGCUUCCGCAAUGGGCGAAAGCCUGACGGAGCAACGACGCGUGAGUGAUGAAGGUCUUCGGAGCGUAAAACUCUGUUAUUAGGGAAGAACAUAUGUGUAAGUAACUGUGCACAUCUUGACGGUACCUAAUCAGAAAGCCACGGCUAACUACGUG